rnacentral:rRNA from 1 species
CGGGGGAAAGCGAGGGGAUCUUCGGACCUUGCGCGAUAGGAUGAGCCGACGCCGAUUAGCUUGUUGGUAGGGUAAUGGCCUACCAAGGCGACGAUCGGUAGCUGGUCUGAGAGGAUGAUCAGCCACACUGGGACUGAGACACGGCCCAGACUCCUACGGGAGGCAGCAGUGGGGAAUAUUGGACAAUGGGCGCAAGCCUGAUCCAGCAAUGCCGCGUGUGUGAAGAAGGCCUGCGGGUUGUAAAGCACUUUUGUUCGGGAAGAAAUCAUGUCGGUUAAUACCCGAUGUGGAUGACGGUACCGAAAGAAUAAGCACCGGCUAACUUCGUG